UAGGCACCGUCUACUCGGCCCAGUACUGGGAUGAAAGGUGUAAGCCACCGCACUCGACAGCCAGCUGGGAUCUCGAAGAAUACUCCAAGGAGGAUCAGAGGAUCAUGCUUGCUCCCUUUUCUUCUGGGGUCCCAGAGGAAGCUUCGCGACUUGAACAUCUGACCUGCCUCAUGUCCCAAGGAAGGUUAGAUGAUGAGCAUAGCAGCUGUCGUCCUUCCUCUCUAGUGAGUUGCAGGGCCAGCAAGAUGACCAGAAGAUAAAGGAACUGCUACCCGGCCUGAACUCUGAGUUCAG